rnacentral:rRNA from 2 species
AAUUGAUUGAUGGUGCUUGCACCUGAUUGAUUUUGGUCGCCAACGAGUGGCGGACGGGUGAGUAACACGUAGGUAACCUGCCCAGAAGCGGGGGACAACAUUUGGAAACAGAUGCUAAUACCGCAUAACAGCGUUGUUCGCAUGAACAACGCUUAAAAGAUGGCUUCUCGCUAUCACUUCUGGAUGGACCUGCGGUGCAUUAGCUUGUUGGUGGGGUAACGGCCUACCAAGGCGAUGAUGCAUAGCCGAGUUGAGAGACUGAUCGGCCACAAUGGGACUGAGACACGGCCCAUACUCCUACGGGAGGCAGCAGUAGGGAAUCUUCCACAAUGGGCGCAAGCCUGAUGGAGCAACACCGCGUGAGUGAAGAAGGGUUUCGGCUCGUAAAGCUCUGUUGUUAAAGAAGAACACGUAUGAGAGUAACUGUUCAUACGUUGACGGUAUUUAACCAGAAAGUCACGGCUAACUACGUGCCAGCAGCCGCGGUAAUACGUAGGUGGCAAGCGUUAUCCGGAUUUAUUGGGCGUAAAGAGAGUGCAGGCGGUUUUCUAAGUCUGAUGUGAAAGCCUUCGGCUUAACCGGAGAAGUGCAUCGGAAACUGGAUAACUUGAGUGCAGAAGAGGGUAGUGGAACUCCAUGUGUAGCGGUGGAAUGCGUAGAUAUAUGGAAGAACACCAGUGGCGAAGGCGGCUACCUGGUCUGCAACUGACGCUGAGACUCGAAAGCAUGGGUAGCGAACAGGAUUAGAUACCCUGGUAGUCCAUGCCGUAAACGAUGAGUGCUAGGUGUUGGAGGGUUUCCGCCCUUCAGUGCCGGAGCUAACGCAUUAAGCACUCCGCCUGGGGAGUACGACCGCAAGGUUGAAACUCAAAGGAAUUGACGGGGGCCCGCACAAGCGGUGGAGCAUGUGGUUUAAUUCGAAGCUACGCGAAGAACCUUACCAGGUCUUGACAUCUUGCGCCAACCCUAGAGAUAGGGCGUUUCCUUCGGGAACGCAAUGACAGGUGGUGCAUGGUCGUCGUCAGCUCGUGUCGUGAGAUGUUGGGUUAAGUCCCGCAACGAGCGCAACCCUUGUUACUAGUUGCCAGCAUUAAGUUGGGCACUCUAGUGAGACUGCCGGUGACAAACCGGAGGAAGGUGGGGACGACGUCAGAUCAUCAUGCCCCUUAUGACCUGGGCUACACACGUGCUACAAUGGACGGUACAACGAGUCGCGAACUCGCGAGGGCAAGCAAAUCUCUUAAAACCGUUCUCAGUUCGGACUGCAGGCUGCAACUCGCCUGCACGAAGUCGGAAUCGCUAGUAAUCGCGGAUCAGCAUGCCGCGGUGAAUACGUUCCCGGGCCUUGUACACACCGCCCGUCACACCAUGAGAGUUUGUAACACCCAAAGUCGGUGGGGUAACC